CACUCAUACACCUCAUGACCUAAAGCAAUGAUUAUUUAUUAUAUUAACAAGAAAGACGAGUGACCACUCAAACAAUGGAAAUACAUGUGUUCAACGGAUGAAGACAAGCAAGAUUGUAACAAAUGAGAGGGCAGGCCGCAGUCCGGAACCUCCAGCGACGGCCCGCUUUCCGGACCCUCCAGCGACGGCCCGCAGUCCACAGUCUUCAGCGGCGGCCCACAGUCCAAAACCUCCAGCGGCGGUACAUCAUGGGCGAGAAACAUAUUGUUUUUCUUAAAAUCAAUUAUAGUAGUAGCAAGCUAUCAAAGUUGACCUCCGGUCCUCAAAUGCUCUCCUUCUCAAACUGAACAGAACAUAGGCUAUAGGCUAGUCUACGUGCAAGAUACUGCAUUUUUUGGACUCGCCUAAUAAAAAAGAAUUUUCUGAAGAA